CCUAGAGCUCUCGCAGACUAGUCACCACUCAGGGAAAAGCCUGGGAUGACCUUCCUGAAAUCCUUCCUAGAUAUCUCAGCUUUGGAUUUAUAUCUGGAAGUGUCCAUGCCGUGGUCCAGCAAGUCCUCAGGAGAUAGUAGCGCCUGACAAGUCAACGGAUGGUGUGGGAGGCUGCAGAGAGUUGUUUGCCACUCCCAUAUAAAGCUCAUGGUAGAUAUGACUUCAAUCCCAGCCUUCAGGAGGCUAAGCUACUUCAUCCUGGAAGAGAAGGAAUGAUUUGUUAUUUUGUUGCACGUGAGGGAAGAACUGUAUUUGUGUACUCCUGUCCCUAUUUGUGGAUUAAGAAAGCAAAAUCUCAAAGGAAGUCAGUAUAGACAGAAGACUUUACUUGGAGAUGACCAUGGCUUCCCUCUGCUGAAGACAGAAAAGAGACAAUUGUCCUGCAGAAAGAGAAGUAGAGGCAUUUAGUUUCGUUACUGAACGGAGCUGAGAAGCUGCUAAAAGCCGAUCAUGGGCUGUGAAUAUGGG